GACGAACGCUGGCGGCGUGGAUUAGGCAUGCAAGUCGGACGGUAGGGCUUUAUCGUAAGAUAGAGUUUGAGAGUGGCGAACGGGUGAGUAACACGUAGGAAUCUACCCUUAAGACGGGGACAACCCGGGGAAACUCGGGCUAAUACCGCAUACGUCCUACGGGAGAAAGGGGGCCUCUGAAUGUAAGCUCCCACUCCAGGAUGAGCCCACGUCCGAUUAGCUAGUUGGUAGGGUAAAGGCCUACCAAGGGCCACGAUCGGUAGCUGGUCUGAGAGGAUGAUCAGCCACACUGGGACUGAGACACGGCCCAGACUCCUACGGGAGGCAGCAGUGGGGAAUAUUGGACAAUGGGCGCAAGCCUGAUCCAGCAAUGCCGCGUGUGUGAAGAAGGCCUGCGGGUUGUAAAGCACUUUCAGUGGGGAAGAACAGGCCUGGGCUAAUACCCCAGGUGUCUGACGUUACCCACAGAAGAAGCACCGGCUAACUCCGUGCCAGCAGCCGCGGUAAGAGU
rnacentral:rRNA from 1 species